CUUUCGUCCAGGUACUACAAGUCACUGCCGCCCAUAAGGCUUAUGGGACCUUGUGCUUGUUGACAACUGUGGGCUAUCAACUGGGACUUUAUGAUAAGUUAGAUCUUGCCUUGUAUUACCCAUAUGUAUUUCAUCGUUUUCAGGUGUGGAGGUUGAUUACAACCUUGUUUUUCCUUGGUGGCUUUUCCAUUAAUUUUGGGAUCCGUCUCUUGAUGAUGUUCCUAUAGAUUCUUGCUAUUUAGGCUCCAAUAAUUCUGCCUUCCUGCAGCAGGUAUGUAUCUAUAACUUGCAUCUCCUUACAGAUACUUAAUGCUUUAUUUACAGGUUAAAUGGUGGAAGACAAGACUUCCGGGCAAGACUUCAGGUCAAUAGUUGCUUUGCUGGAGGAGAUGACAUUUUGUUGGAACAUUUUGUCGAGGAGAUUUUUCCCACCAUCAUUCUUUGAUAUAAUGCGUGUUGAAGUAGUUCGAGCAAGUCUCAGUUAAAUAGAGCACAUUUUGGAUACUUUGAUAUAUCUAGUUUCUGUUUUCCUUGUUUUGAAUGUUAAGGUUUUGGACAUUGUAUGAAUUAUGUUGUAGACGUAAUUGUAUUGCUAGCUUGGUAGAUACUGAUAACAGUUGAUAUGUUGAAUGUUUUUAUGUUUUAAUUUGAAUGUUCCUAUUUAGAUAUA